rnacentral:rRNA from 3 species
CCUGGCGGCGAUAGCGCGGUGGUCCCACCUGACCCCAUGCCGAACUCAGAAGUGAAACGCCGUAGCGCCGAUGGUAGUGUGGGGUCUCCCCAUGU